GCCUAAUUUUCAAAUUUAAAGCUCUCUCUCUCAAGUUUAGACAUAACUAUUAUAAUUUAAAGCUUGCUCUAAACCUAAACUUGUAGGAAGAGAACUCGAUCUAAAGUCUAAGUCGUUAACGGAUAGGAUAUGGAAGGUUGAGUUGCUGUUUAUCUUUUUCUAGUGAUGCUAGAAUUCUGGAGAAUUUUAUCUUUGAAAAUCUUUAAAAUAUUGCAUGAUGAGUUCCUGUAUGAUGAGAGUUUAAAUUCUUACCACAGCCAUAUAUACAUGCUUAUUAAACUAAAAACCAUACAUUUACUUUUUACUCCCUAUGAGCAUUGAGUGUGGUCAAGGUGUGUAGACCCUUAGGAGCUUGUCAUGCGGUUAAAAUCAAGAUUCACUUGCACGUUCACUCAUACAUGCUGCUUCUAUUCCGGAAGUACAUAUCCACAUACAUCCACUCAUUUCCAUCUCUGGAUUCACCCAAAAUUAUUCUACUCUUAUCCAGAAGAGAAUAGCCAAAAACAUUAUCCUACCCCUGUUAUUCCCUAUGAAAUAAAUGCUCGAGAUAUUUUGGUUACUACCACUUGCUAUAUUAUUCUAGGAGGGUGAGUUCUCUAAAAAAAGUGAAUACGAGAAAAUAAAAAGGGGCAAGUGCCCGAAACCUCGAAGAAAAAAAGUGAGACGAGAGGUAAAAAUAGACAAGUGUCCGACAGUAGAAUUAGGGGUACAAGAUACCCACCUGAGAGAAAAGAAAAAGAAAAUAUAGAGCAUCUCAUUCUCCUCAAAAAGCUUCAAAGUGCAAGAAAGGUAUGUAUCCCCUC
rnacentral:lncRNA from 1 species